AACGAACGCUGGCGGCAUGCCUAACACAUGCAAGUCGAACGAGACCUUCGAGUCUAGUGGCGCACGGGUGCGUAACGCGUGGGAACCUGCCCUUAGGUUCGGAAUAACUCCCCGAAAGGGGUGCUAAUACCGGAUAAUGUCUUCGGACCAAAGAUUUAUCGCCUUUGGAUGGGCCCGCGUUGGAUUAGCUAGUUGGUAGGGUAAAAGCCUACCAAGGCGACGAUCCAUAGCUGGUCUGAGAGGAUGAUCAGCCACACUGGGACUGAGACACGGCCCAGACUCCUACGGGAGGCAGCAGUGGGGAAUAUUGGACAAUGGGCGAAAGCCUGAUCCAGCAAUGCCGCGUGAGUGAUGAAGGCCUUAGGGUUGUAAAGCUCUUUUACCCGGGAUGAUAAUGACAGUACCGGGAGAAUAAGCUUCGGCUAACUCCGUG
rnacentral:rRNA from 1 species